rfam:Caprimulgus carolinensis contig88394, whole genome shotgun sequence.
AGCACAAAUGAUGACUUGGGACUUAAUACUGAAGUGUGAUGUCACUUUUGAGCAGAAACUGAUGUGC